AGAGUUUGAUCCUGGCUCAGAACUAACGCUGGCGGCGCGUCUUAAACAUGCAAGUCGAGCGGUAAGGCCCGCAAGGGUACACGAGCGGCAAACGGGUGAGUAACACGUAGGUAAUCUUCCUUUCAGUGGGGGACAACCUGCCGAAAGGCAGGCUAAUACCGCAUACUAUCCAGUUUUCCACGGAUUUCUGGAUGAAAGCA
rnacentral:rRNA from 1 species